AUUGAAGAGUUUGAUCAUGGCUCAGAUUGAACGCUGGCGGCAGGCUUAACACAUGCAAGUCGAGCGGUAGCACAGAGAGCUUGCUCUCGGGUGACGAGCGGCGGACGGGUGAGUAAUGUCUGGGAAACUGCCUGAUGGAGGGGGAUAACUACUGGAAACGGUAGCUAAUACCGCAUAACGUCGCAAGACCAAAGUGGGGGACCUUCGGGCCUCAUGCCAUCAGAUGUGCCCAGAUGGGAUUAGCUAGUAGGUGGGGUAACGGCUCACCUAGGCGACGAUCCCUAGCUGGUCUGAGAGGAUGACCAGCCACACUGGAACUGAGACACGGUCCAGACUCCUACGGG
rnacentral:rRNA from 1 species